UACGGAGGGGGCGAGUGUUAUUCGGAAUUAUUGGGCGUAAAGGGCGCGUAGGCGGCUUGGUAAGUCAAAGGUGAAAUCCCUCGGCUCAACUGAGGAAUUGCCUUUGAAACUGCAUGGCUCGAGGCCGGGAGGGGGUAGCGGAAUUCCCAGUGUAUCGGUGAAAUGCGUAGAUAUUGGGAGGAACACCGGUGGCGAAGGCGGCUCCCUGGACCGGUUCUGACGCUGAUGCGCGAAAGCGUGGGGAGCAAACA
rnacentral:rRNA from 1 species